CGAAGGGUGCAAGCGUUAAUCGGAAUUACUGGGCGUAAAGCGCGCGUAGGUGGUUCGUUAAGUUGGAUGUGAAAGCCCCGGGCUCAACCUGGGAACUGCAUCCAAAACUGGCGAGCUAGAGUAUGGCAGAGGGUGGUGGAAUUUCCUGUGUAGCGGUGAAAUGCGUAGAUAUAGGAAGGAACACCAGUGGCGAAGGCGACCACCUGGGCUAAUACUGACACUGAGGUGCGAAAGCGUGGGGAGCAAACAGGAUU
rnacentral:rRNA from 1 species